rnacentral:tRNA from 1 species
UCCUUGGUGGCUCAGAAAGUAAAGAGUCUGCCUGCAAUGCAGGAGACCCAGGUUUGAUCCCUGGGUUGGGAA